rnacentral:rRNA from 1 species
UACGGAGGAUGCAAGCGUUAUCCGGAAUUAUUGGGCGUAAAGCGUCCGUAGGUGGUUUUGAAAGUCUAUUGUCAAAGCGCGGGGCUUAACCUCGUAAGGGCAGUAGAAACUAUGAGACUAGAGUUCGGUAGGGGUCAGGGGAAUUCCCAGUGUAGCGGUGAAAUGCGUAGAUAUUGGGAAGAACACCAGCGGCGAAAGCGCCUGACUGGGCCUGAACUGACACUGAUGGACGAAAGCUAGGGGAGCGAAAGGG